UACGGAGGUGGCAAGCGUUGUUCGGAAUUACUGGGCGUAAAGGGCGCGUAGGCGGCCUUCUAAGUCAGACGUGAAAUCCCCCAGCUCAACUGGGGAACUGCCUACGAUGCCGGGGAGCUCGAGGGAGGAAGGGGCGGUCGGAACUGUCGGUGGAGCGGUGAAAUGCGUUGAUAUCGACAGGAACGCCGGUGGCGAAAGCGGACCGCUGGCCCUCUUCUGACGCUGAGGCGCGAAAGCCAGGGGAGCGAACGGG
rnacentral:rRNA from 1 species